GAAACCUCUAAAGGAUAUUUAAGCCCCAGAAAAUUCUGUAACUAGCUCUCUUGAGCCACUUGCACAAUCCCACUCCUAGUCUGUGGAGUGUACUUUUGUUUCAAUAAUUCUAUGCUUUUAUUACUUCAUUCCUUCAUUUUUUUUGUGCAUUUUGUUCAAUUCUUUGUUCAAAACACCAAGAACCUGGACAACUCGUAGUCAAGAACCUCCACUGGUAACAUUACUAUAUGCUUGGCCCUGUUCUAAGGACUGGAGUGUGUAUGGUUAUUCACAGAAGCAGAAACAGGCUCAGAGACGUGAAAAAAUUUUCUCGCAUUUUCAGAGCUGGAAAGAAGUGGAACCUGGAUUUAAACACAGGCAACUCUAGAGCCUCAAGUUCCACUAUGAUCCUUAUUAGAACAUUAAAACGUCCAACACAAAGAAAUGAUACAUGUUUGAGGGAACUCACUUGGGAUAACA
rnacentral:lncRNA from 1 species